rnacentral:rRNA from 1 species
AUCAAAUUCUCAACGAUGGAUAUCUUGGUUCCCAUAACAAUGAAGAACGCAGCGAAGUGCGAUAAGCAGCGCGAAUUGCAGAACCGUGAGUCAUCAGAUCUUUGAACGCAAAUGGCGCUAGUUGGUUACCCAGCUAGCAUGCUUGUUUCAGUG